rnacentral:rRNA from 1 species
CCUACGGGAUGCAGCAGUGAGGAAUAUUGGUCAAUGGACGAGAGUCUGAACCAGCCAAGUAGCGUGAAGGAUGACUGCCCUAUGGGUUGUAAACUUCUUUUAUAUGGGAAUAAAAUGUUCCACGUGUGGGAUUUUGUAUGUACCAUAUGAAUAAGGAUAGGCUAAAUCCGUGCCAGCAGCCGAGGUAAUACGGAGGAUACGAGCGUUAUCCGGAUUUAUUGGGUUUAAAGGGAGCGUAGGUGGAUUGUUAAGUCAGUUGUGAAAGUUUGCGGCUCAACCGUAAAAUUGCAGUUGAAACUGGCAGUCUUGAGUACAGUAGAGGUGGGCGGAAUUCGUGGUGUAGCGGUGAAAUGCUUAGAUAUCACGAAGAACUCCGAUUGCGAAGGCAGUUCACUGGACUGCAACUGACACUGAGGCUCGAAAGUGUGGGUAUCAAACAGGAUUAGAUACCCGAGUAGUC